rnacentral:rRNA from 2 species
GCGACCCCAGGAUGGGCGGGGUGACCCGCUGAGUUUAAGCAUAUCA